rnacentral:tRNA from 1 species
UCCCUGGCAGUCCAGCGGUUCAGACUCUGUGCUUUCAAUGCAGAAAGCACAGGUUCAAUCCCUGGUCGGGGAG